rnacentral:lncRNA from 1 species
CACCCAGUCGCUGCCUCUUCUGUGGCUCCCUUGAGACAGAGCUGUGUAGGGAACUUGGCAGGUGCCUAAGUUCCUUACAAACACCUAUUUCUCAUGUCACAGGGUCCGGCCCCUGCAGGCAUCUGAGUGCUCCAGCUGGGCCCAGAGUGUGCCCAAGUGUUGCAUCACCAACUCCUUCUCUGGGCCUUCAAACUUCAAAUAGAAAUUCCUGGAGCAGAGCAGCAAAGGCCUAAGCGUUUCUCAUGCCCACCUGUCUGUGUGCUGAAGGUCUGCACUAACCAGAGGAGAGUUAAAAGGAAUGGGGAGACACAGACAUCCACACAAGUCCCCAAAAAGAAUGGUCACACUAUACUGAGAGAAGAAGUGAAGCAAGCCCAGGCUUUGCCACCAGCACAAAAUCAACAACAAAGACGGAGGCUUGAAGUAGGACCAAACUAUGUGGAAUCCAAGAAGGAGGCUCUGUGGAAGACCGUGGGCCAGAGCAUCAGCCAGAAUCAGACAGAACACGAGAAGCACCAGCUGUCACCACCCUCUCCCAGUCAGUGAAAUCAUCAGGCCCAUGGUGAGAGAUUCCCCAGGAUCUGCUCAGGUUCAAAGCCACCCAGUUGGUCAGGAGAGCACCCGGCCUAAGGUUCCUCAAGUGUCCUUGGCCUCACAAAUCCCCACCCAGCAACCCCCAAGUCCCAGAAAAAUGCAGUGACUCAACACAGAGUAAAUCCACCGUGCUGGAAGUCAG